UACGAUAUUCAUUACGGUUUUAAAGUCGUGUAUCUAAGAAAUGGAGUUCUUCAGACGCAGUCUAGUUUUCCUCAUGGCUUUGGCGAUGGCAGUUUUGACUAUCAUUCAUGCUGUUCCUGACCCUGAACCACAGCCCCAACCUGGUCUCUUAGAUGGUCUCUUAGGGGGAUAAUAAAUGCUGCUACAAUGUACGGAUGUGGAAAGUUAGAAGAUGUCUGAAUACACUUCUCCUGCAUAUAUGUUGCUAUAGAAAUUAGAGAAAAAUUUUAAAAUCUUCGGAAAUUUGUAUAUUAACCAAAAUAUUGUUAUGUGCUUCCUAUUUGAUAUAUAUUUCGAAAAUGUGCAAUAAUAAAAUAUUUCUGGAAGAUUCGUA